GUAAAUUCCGUCCAAGGCUAAAUACCAGUGAGAGACCGAUAGCAAACAAGUACCGUGAGAGAAAGAUGAAAAGGACUUUGAAAAGAGAGUAAAAGAUUGCUUGAAAUUGUCAGGAGGGAAGCGGAUGGGGGCCGGCAAUGCGCCCCAGUCGGAUGUGGAAUGGUGAAAGCCGGUUCGCUGAUUGACUUGGGGCAUGGACCGAUGCGAUGAGGCAGCGGCCCAAGCUCGAGCUGUCGAAAUGCACGUGGAGAUGUCGUCACCUUUAUUGUGGAAGGCAGCGCGCAUCGUCUUGGCAUGCUUCAGUAUCUGCACGGUCCUGGUGUCAGCCUGCGGGCCCCCCAUUUAGCCCGUCUUGAAACACGAACUAAGGAGUCUGACAUGUGUGCGAGUCAACUUGAUUGCAAACCUAUAAGGCAAAAAAAAGUUGACUGGUGGGAUCCCCUAGUAGGUUGCACCACCGACCAACCUUGAUCUUCUGAGAAGGGUUCGAGUGAGAGCAUGCCUGUCGAGACCCGAAAGAUGGUGAACUAUGCCUGAACGAGGCAAAGCCAGAGGAAACUCUGGCGGAGGCCCGCAGUGAUAUUGACGUGCAAAUCGUUCGUCUGACUUAGGUAUAGGGGCGAAAGACUAAUCAAACCGUCUAGUAGCUAGUUCCCUCCGAAGUUUCCCUUAGGAUAGCUGAAGCCCGCAAACGAGUUCUAUUUGGUAAAGCCAAUGAUUAGAGGCAUCGGGGGUGCAACGCCCUUGACCUAUUCUUAAACUUUAAAUAGGUAAGACGACACAGCUGCUUCAUUGAGCCGUGCCACAGAAUUGAGAACUCUAAGUGGGCCAUUUUUGGUAAGCAAAACUGACGACGCAGGAUGAACUAGAAGCCGGGUUACGAUGCCCAACUGUGUGCUAACCUAGAACCCAUAAAGGGUUGGUCGAUUAAGAUAGCAGGACGGUGGUCAUGGAAGUCGAAAUCCAAUAAGGAGUGUGUAACAACUCACCUGCCAAAUCAACUAGCCUCGAAAAUGGAUGGUGCUGAAGCGCGCGACCUAUACCUGGCUGUCAAAGCAAGAGCCAGGCCUCAAUGAGUAGAAAGGUGCGGUGGUUGUUGGAAAACUAAUGGCGUGAACCCGGGUAGAACGGCCGUCGGUGCAGAUCUUAAUGGUAGUAGCAAAUAUUCAAAUGAGAACUUUGAAGGACGAAAAGGGGAAAGGUUCCAUAUAAACGGUACUUACACAUGGGUUAGUCGAUUCUAAAAUACGGGGGAAGCCCGUUUGAUAGCACGACAAGCGUGAGCUUCGAAAGGGGAUCGGGUUAAAAUUUUGGAACCAGGACAUGGCGGCUGACGACAACGUUAGGGAGUCUGGAGACAUCGGCGGGGCCUAGGGAAGAGUUAUCUUUUCUGUUUAAUAGAAUUCCCACCUUGGAAAUGGCUCAGCCGAAGGUAGGGUCUAGCGGCCGGAAGAACACCACACAUUGCAUGGUGUCUGGUGCACCCCUGGCGGCCCUUGAAAAUCCGGAGGACCGAGUACCUUCCACACCCGGUCCUACUCAUAACCACAUCAGGUCUCCAAGAUGAACAGCCUCUGGUUGACGGUAAGUCGGGAAAAUGUAUCCGUAACCUUGGGAAAAGGAUUGGCUCUGAGGGCUAGGCACGAGGGUCCCAGUCCCAAACCAAUCGACUGUUGAUGUACUGCUUGAGCUACUCCAGUAAAGAGAGCGGGUCGUCACAUGCCAGUUGGGGGGCAAACUAGGAACGACACCGACGAAGGCCUUCCUUGGGCAUUGAACUGUCGACUCAGAAUUGGUACAGACAAGGGGAAUCCGACUGUUUAAUUAAAACGAAGCAUUGCGAUGGUCCCUGCGGAUGAUCACGGAAUGUGAUUUCCCCCCAAUGCUCUGAAUGUCAAAGUGAAGAAAUUCAACCAAGCGUGGGUAAACGACAGGAGUAACUAUGGCUCUCUUAAGGUAGCCAAAUGCCUUGUCAUCUAAUUAGUGACGAGCAUGAAUAGAUUAACGAAAUUCCCACUGUCCCUGUCUACUAUUCAACGAAACCACAGCCAAGGGAACGGGCUUGGCAUAAUCAACGGGGAAAGAAGACCCUGUUGAGCUUGACUCUAGUCCGACUUUGUAAAAUGACUUGAGAGGUGUAGUAUAAGUGGGAGUCGGAAACAGCGAAAGUGAAAUACCACUACUUUUAACAUUAUUUUACUUAUUCUGUGAAUCGGAGGUGGGGCAUUGCCCCUCUUUUUGGACCCAAGGCAUGCCUCGGCAGGCCAAUCUGGGCGGAAGCUAUUGUCAGGUGGGGAGUUUGGUUGUGGCGGCACAUCUGUUAAAGGAUAAAGCAUGUAUCCUAAGAUGAGCUCAAUGAGAACAAAAAUCUCAUGUUGAACAAAAGGGUAAAAGCUCGUUUGAUUAUGAUUUCUAGUAUGAUUACGAACCAUGAAAGCGUGGCCUAUCAGUCCUUUAAACCUUCGUAAUUUGAAACUAGAGGUGUCAAAAAAGGUAUACAGGAUAAUUAGCUUGUGACAACCAAGCGUUCAUAGCGCCAUUGCUUUUUGAUCCUUCAAUGUCAGCUCUUCCUAUCAUUGUCAUGCAGAAUUCACCAAGUGUUGGAUUGUUCACCCACCGAUAGGGAACAUGAGCUGUGUUUAGACUGUCGUGAGACAGGUUAGUUUUAUCCUACUAAUGACAGUGUCGCAAUAGUAAUUCAACCUAGUACAAGAGGAACCAUUGAUUCACACAAUUGGUCAUCACGCUUGGCUGAAAAGCCAGUAGCGCAAAGCUACAGUGUACUGGAUUAUGACUGAACGACUCUAAGUCAAAAUCUGGGCUAGAAGCGACGCAUGCACCCGUCGCCUGUUUGCCAACCUGCAGUAGGGGCCUCGGCCCCCAAAGGCACGUGUUGGUGGUGUAACGACCUGACUACGUAGGCCAUUAUCAUGCUUACUGAAAUUAAAUCUCAACUUUAAAUCU
rnacentral:rRNA from 1 species